GCAUCCUUUGCUGAGGAUACGGUUAACGGAGCGAAAGCGACGUUCAACCGCAAAACAAGCAGAGGGGGCUUAGUGGUGGGGUGACUGCGUACCUUUUGUAUAAUGGGUCAGCGACUUAUAUUCUGUAGCAAGGUUAACCGAAUAGGGGAGCCGGAGGGAAACCGAGUCUUAAUUGGGCGUUAAGUUGCAGGGUAUAGACCCGAAACCCGGUGAUCUAGCCAUGGGCAGGUUGAAGGUUGGGUAACACUAACUGGAGGACCGAACCGACUAAUGUUGAAAAAUUAGCGGAUGACCUGUGGCUGGGGGUGAAAGGCCAAUCAAACCGGGAGAUAGCUGGUUCUCCCCGAAAGCUAUUUAGGUAGCGCCUCGUGAAUUCAUCUCCGGGGGUAGAGCACUGUUUCGGCUAGGGGGCCAUCCCGGCUUACCAACCCGAUGCAAACUGCGAAUACCGGAGAAUGUUAUCACGGGAGACACACGGCGGGUGCUAACGUCCGUCGUGAAGAGGGAAACAACCCAGACCGCCAGCUAAGGUCCCAAAGUCAUGGUUAAGUGGGAAACGAUGUGGGAAGGCCCAGACAGCCAGGAUGUUGGCUUAGAAGCAGCCAUCAUUUAAAGAAAGCGUAAUAGCUCACUGGUCGAGUCGGCCUGCGCGGAAGAUGUAACGGGGCUAAACCAUGCACCGAAGCUGCGGCAGCGAACGUAU
rnacentral:rRNA from 1 species